GUAGGUGAACCUGCGGUAGGAUCAUUGUUGGUUCCGAGCCACGAACUGUGUAGGGGAGGAGGCGCGCUCGACAUGGUCGGGACUCGUAGCCUCCCCGACCCCCGCUCUCGUCGGCGUGUGGACUGGAGGGCCUGUUGACUUGUCGUGCAUCUAUCUCGCGAUUCUCUCCGGAUGGAUGCCGCGGCGGGCCUCGCGCCUCUGUAAGUCAUUCGCUUGCGGUUCGGGGUACGAUUCAAGGGCGUGACGGAGUGUGCCGCUGCACUCCUCGACAGCGCCCGCGGCGGCCGGUGGACUCCUCGGGGAGUCUGCGAGGCACAGCUGCAACCCCCCGUUGCGUCGACGAAGGGAGCAAUGCCGUGUAAAGGAGGUGUUGGUGGUGCGGACGGGCGCACUCGCGCAAGCCGCGGGGCAGGACCUCUCGUCGUCGUCCCCCUUCCCUCUUUGACGGCAUGUGUCCUUCGGAUGUUGCGGGGCGGGGACAUCUCCCGUCUCACGUGCCACCCAUGAGGCAUCGCUUCUGGACCCCGGUGGCAAUUGCGGGACGGGCAGUGUGUCACAAACACUUAACACUGCGGUGCAGUUCGCACCAAGGAUUGAAAGAUAGCCGCGCGAGCCGCACGCCGUGUGCGUGCGGGAUUGCCGGCGCCAUGAGAACACGACUCUCGGCAACGGAUAUCUCGGCUCUCGCCACGAUGAAGAAUGUAGCGAAAUGCGAUACUUAGUGUGAAUUGCAGAAUCCCGUGAAUCAUCGAGUCUUUGAACGCAAGUUGCGCCCGAGGCUUCGGCCGAGGGCACGUCUGCUUGGGCGUCGCACUCCUAAAUCGCCCUCCCCCCUGCGGCCUUGGGCGGGAGGAGUGGAUGUGGCCGUCCGUCCCCCAACAGCGGUGCGGUCGGCUUAAACAGGCACGGCGUCCGUCGCCCAUGUCACGACGAGCGGUGGCCCAAGCGGGUCGGCGUUAGUUUUGUGCCGGGCGGGUGCGGCUAUGUGCGGAACUUUAUCUGGGAGCGGGCGGCUUUGCAUGCGUGCGGGUCAGCCUGUUUGCCUUCCGCGUCCCC
rnacentral:rRNA from 1 species